rnacentral:rRNA from 1 species
AUACGGAGGGAGCAAGCGUUAAUCGGAAUUACUGGGCGUAAAGCGUACGUAGGCGGUUCGUUAAGUUAGAUGUGAAAGCCCCGGGCUUAACCUGGGAACUGCAUUUAAAACUGGCGAACUAGAGUUGAGUAGAGGGGAGUGGAAUUUCAGGUGUAGCGGUGAAAUGCGUAGAGAUCUGAAGGAACACCAGUGGCGAAGGCGGCUCCCUGGACUCAAACUGACGCUGAGGUACGAAAGCGUGGGUAGCAAACGGGAUUAGAAACCCUAGUAGUCC